UACGUAGGGGGCAAGCGUUGUCCGGAAUUAUUGGGCGUAAAGCGCGCGCAGGCGGCCUUGUAAGUCUGUCGUUUAAACUCGGAGCUCAACUUCGAGUCGCGAUGGAAACUGCAAAGCUUGAGUGCAGAAGAGGAAAUGGAAUUCCACGUGUAGCGGUGAAAUGCGUAGAGAUGUGGAGGAACACCAGUGGCGAAGGCGACUUCUGGGCUGUAACUGACGCUGAGGCGCGAAAGCGUGGGGAGCGAACAGG
rnacentral:rRNA from 1 species